GUGUUUCAAUUCCUAGGUAUUUUAUACCUAUGAGCAUACCUUGUCCUUUUUAAGUGAUAUGGCACUUUGAUUGUUUAGCAUUAUUAGAUGUUGGUUAUCAAUAACUUUUCUAAUCUUAAUUUCCUACUGCAGGAACAACUUAAAACCGUGGGCAACUCUAUUCCUAGUCUAAUGGUACUUUCGCUAACUUGGAUUUACUAGAUGUAUUUUUCCAAGUAUCUUUUCUUGGUAUUUGCCAUUUUCAUGCAGUUGCUGUGAUUGUGCGUUUAUAUUUCAAUUUUCAUGAAUGUAAAUGGUAUUCGUCUCUUAUUCGGAGGAAUGAAUCUAUCAAGGCACGUUCCUUACAAAUGGAAAACGGAACAGGAAACUUGUUUAAAAUUUAUCAAAACUUUCAUAACAAUUAAUGAAAGAUAUUCAUUUCCUAUUCCAUCAAAUGCAUGGACUAUUCCUGGAUGCUGGUACACAUGUUGAUUUCUUGGAUAUAUGUGAAACCAAAAACAUUCCUCUAAUUGGAAUAGACUCUUCAGCACAAGGCUAUUAAGUUCUCUACAAACAUAGUGUUUUAUUACAGAUGCAUUCUAUGUGCCUGUAAUAAAACAGUCUCUCUACCCUAGACAAGAGGGGUUGCUCUGAUGGUAAGCAACCCCCACUUCCAACCGAGAGGUUGUGAGUUCGAGUCUCCCCAAGAGCAAGGUGGGAAGUUCUUGGAGGGAAGGAUGCCGGGGGUCUAUUUGGAAACAGUCUCUCUACCCUAGGGUAGGGGUAAGGUCUGCUUACACACUACCCUCCCCAGACCCCACUAAGUGGGAUUAUACUGGGUUGUUGUUGUUGUUUGCAUUCUAUGUGCCUUUCAUCAUUUUUGCGAGUAGAAAUAACAAGUUUUGCAAAUUUGAAGCAGUGUGGAUAUGGUUGAACCUUUUAUGAUUUCAGAUUGAAAAGGAUUGAUUUCCACGUGCAUGGUUUAUAUGUCAUGUUACUGCCCAUUGUCCAUCACCUAUUAGCAUUCUGUGGUUUAUAUUUCUUCUCACUUCAUAUGGUUUCGGCAAAAAUCAGUAACCUUUUAUAAUGCACUUGCAUUUGACUUCACAUAAUCUUGUUAUAGGGCCUUAAAGAACUUGCUGACUCCUCACCGCAAGCAAUGAACAGCAUAUAUAUUACAGAAAUUGCUCAAGAUGGUACUGAUAAGUUAUUAGAGCCACCUAGGCCCCUAUUGAGGU
rnacentral:lncRNA from 1 species